GAUGAACGCUGGCGGCGUGCCUAAUACAUGCAAGUCGAGCGAACAGACGAGGAGCUUGCUCCUUCGACGUUAGCGGCGGACGGGUGAGUAACACGUAGGUAACCUACCUAUAAGACUGGGAUAACUUCGGGAAACCGGAGCUAAUACCGGAUAAUAUUUCGAACCGCAUGGUUCGAUAGUGAAAGAUGGCUUUGCUAUCACUUAUAGAUGGACCUGCGCCGUAUUAGCUAGUUGGUAAGGUAACGGCUUACCAAGGCAACGAUACGUAGCCGACCUGAGAGGGUGAUCGGCCACACUGGAACUGAGACACGGUCCAGACUCCUACGGGAGGCAGCAGUAGGGAAUCUUCCGCAAUGGGCGAAAGCCUGACGGAGCAACGCCGCGUGAGUGAUGAAGGUCUUCGGAUCGUAAAACUCUGUUAUUAGGGAAGAACAAACGUGUAAGGAACUGUGCACGUCUUGACGGUACCUAAUCAGAAAGCCACGGCUAACUACGUG
rnacentral:rRNA from 1 species